UGGUCUUCGCGGGCGCCCCGCUCCUGCUCCCGGGCCUCGCUGGAGGGCUUUUGGGCGCUUCUGGAGAGGCGGCGGGCUCCGCGGUCGCGCUGGGUUAGACAUCAGCUAGAACUUCCCCAUUGUGAGGGCGGACGACGCGGCGAGCGGGUCUGCAGGGCCUUGGAGCUGAUGGCUUCAGAGCGGAACCGCAGCUCCGGGCCCCUGGGUGCGAAGCACCUGGUGUGAUCACACCUCCGGCUGGGGCCGAGGAGAAGAGAGGCGAGAGGAGAAGAGAGCCGGGGAGCACACUGGGCCUUACAAAGCAUGCUCCAUACCUUAGCGACCUAUACCGCACACCAACCCUUCAAGUAUACCCAUUUUACAGGGCCCAGGCUGAGAGGGUGUCGGGAUGCUGAGCAAGUUCUUCGGCUACCACCAGAGGGAGACAGAGGCCAGCCCAAGCGCCCCCGGUGGGCUGCCAGAGGUCUCUGCCUUCUCCCCCUGCGGCAGCUGGUACUGAUCUGACACAAGACAAGCUACUGCCCUCAACAUGGUAUCGGGAAGUUGAUCAUGGGCCCCCAGAGACAACGACCUAACCCACAGUUCAAAUGAGGCCAAGGCCCAUAAUAGUCACCCAUCUCCUUAUUCCCUGGUCUUCACACCCGCCAUGGUGUGGCUGAAAGAGUGGGUUACAGAGCUGGGGCCUGGAGACCCCCUGGCUCCAGCACCAGAAGCUCACCAGAGAAGGUGACAGCUCCCCUGGGCUCCAAACAGCCCUCCACCCCCAGCCAAACCCUAGGGCUCUUGUCUCCUGGAGCUUCUCACCUGUUCCUGGCACCAUCACACCUACUCCAUCCUGACAGCCCCAGCUCUGGAGAGGAGGUCAUCACCUCUAUGCGUCCUGGAGGCCUCAGAGGAUGAGAGGGGAAGGGCACAUUGUGGGAUCCUUAUUUUGGCUGAGCUCUGACCAAGACUGCUCGGUGUCUGCCCUUGACAGGCGCGCAAGGCUGGGCCAGGGAGCUUCAAGACUGGCUCCUUAAUCCCAGGCCACCUGCAGUGGCUCAGGCGCCAGAGUGCGGUUCUUCCCCGUUCCCUGUCUUCCGCAUUAUCCCAGCCCCAUGGCUCCCUGCACAAAAAGACAAGCCCCUCCAGUGAAGAGCGAAUGUACAAAAAUCUCUGCCUCUCACAUCCAAAAUAUAACCCUAUAAAGAAUUGUGCAAUUGCAAUUAUAUCACAAUUAUUCUGUUGAAGAAAUGAGGUCCCAGAGUGUGGUUCCCAAGUGCAGAUUCAGACCCGCCAUCCACAGGGACCGUUCACCCGCCUAAGCAGCCCUCCUGCCUGGUGCCCUACCCUCGGGCCCCCUGGUCCUCCCUGCCCCGGGGGCGGUGCUCCUUGGGUGGUGGUACGG